rfam:Brassica napus, WGS project CCCW01000000 data, contig: 29018
UAAAUACCAAGAGAGUUUCCUUAAGUCCAUUCACAUGUUGUGAUUUGAUCCAAUUAGCUCCAGACUCAUUCACUCACUUACCGAGUCACUAAAAUAGGAAUAACUCGUUACAUGAGUAAAUGAUGCGGGAGACUUAUUGGAUCUUAGAUUCAUUGCGAUUGGACUGAAGGGAACUCCCUUUAUUUUAUUC